UACGAAGGGGGCUAGCGUUGCUCGGAAUCACUGGGCGUAAAGCGCACGUAGGCGGCUUUUUAAGUCAGGGGUGAAAUCCUGGAGCUCAGCUCCAGAACUGCCUUUGAUACUGAGAGGCUCGAGUCCGGGAGAGGUGAGUGGAACUGCGAGUGUAGAGGUGAAAUUCGUAGAUAUUCGCAAGAACACCAGUGGCGAAGGCGGCUCACUGGCCCGGUACUGACGCUGAGGUGCGAAAGCGUGGGGAGCAAACAGG
rnacentral:rRNA from 1 species